AAAUCCUCAAAACCUAAUUAGGUGCCUACUGUCGCAUGAAUUUUCUCACCCUCACACUGAGCUCUUCGUAUUUCUCUGGAGAAUUCAGAGGCGGCUCCUCCGUCCUCUUCGAAACCAAACCCUUACCCAUUGUUAAAUUAACAGACACGCCGCUGUUUUACCACGAGGAAGAAGAAGAAGAUAUCUCGAUCAAAGAAGAAGAAGAAGAGGAGAGCGAGAGCGUCUCAGCCACCACAACUCUGACUAGAGGCUUCGUGGAGAGAUGGGGUCGUUUCGAGAGGUUGGCCGAGCCAAGUUUCCUCUUCUUUAACCCUUUUGCCGGAGAAUGCCUCGCCGCCGUUCUAUCUACAAGAAUCUACUCCCUUGAUGUCCGCAUCGAAACCAAAACUAGGAUAACAUUUUUGUUCAAUUACAAUGAUCAAUUUAAUACCGGGUCGUUAAAAAAAAUGCUAAUGAUGCUUAUUACGAGUUGCAGAACCCUAAAGAACAGAUUCAGGCUUUUGUGUUGGAUGUGGUUCGAGCUAUUGUCCCUAGGAUGACCUUUGAUGAGCUAUUUGAACAAAAGGGUGAGGUUGCCCAAUCUGUGCUGGAAGAACUUGAGAAAGCAUGGUCAGAGUUUUGGAUCCUUGGUAUUAUUGUAAAAACCUGUUAUGGUGACAUAUGGAUAUAACAUAGAGCACAUGCUCAUGGUUGACACUGUACCCGAUUCUCAUGUGCGCACAGCAAUGAACGAGAUUAAUAAAGUGGGGCGUGGUGUUCAUACAUGUGAGGAUGGGAGCCGGUAUGUUGGCGAAUUCAAGUGGGGCGUCAAGCAUGGUCUUGGUCACUACCAUUUCAGAAAUGGGGAUACAUAUGCUGGAAAAUAUUUUGCUGACAAGAUGCAUGGUUUUGGAGUUUAUCAAUUCGCCAAUGUUCACCGUUAUGAGGGGGCAUGGCAUGAGGGUAGAAGGAAAGGACUAGGGAUGUAUACAUUCAGAAAUGGCGAAACACAAUCUGGUCACUGGCAAAAUGGUGUUCUUCAUAUUCUAAGCAGAUUUUGACAAUACAACGAGAAACAAAAAAGGUAAUAAGGGCAACUAUAUUCCUUUUGUCCGAAUCAUUUUAUCUUACUUCUAAAUAACAUUACUCACCAAGCAACACUCAUGACUCAUGACCAUCCCUAGAUUGUAUUAUUUGACAUUCAUGGCACUAAAUAACUAAUGGGUUCAACAUAUUUCAGUGUCAACGUGUAAUAAUUGUAUAGUAGUUUAUUGUUCAAUAACUACAACCAUGGCUUAAUUACCCACAUGUUUUUUUUUUCCCUGACUUAGCAAUAUAAUUGUAAAUCGAAGAUUGGAUAAGCAAGAAGGUACUUCGAAUAGUAUCAAGAGUUAUGAACGUUAGGAGUAGGAGAACUUUUUCUAAUCACACAUGAAGAAUAGGCUUGUGUAUUGUAAGUGUAAAUUUUUACUAAGUUAUGAAGGUUGGGCUUGUAUAUUGAAAGUAUUCUUAGACAUAUUUGCUAUAUAGACACUUUAUGUAAUUGUCUCAAUUUGAAUUUAUCUUUUAUUAAUUCUAACUUUAUAUUA